rnacentral:rRNA from 1 species
UACGUAGGGGGCAAGCGUUGUCCGGAAUCAUUGGGCGUAAAGCGCGUGUAGGCGGCUCGAUAAGUCUGCUGUGAAAGUCCAGGGCUCAACCCUGGGAUGCCGGUGGAUACUGUCGAGCUCGAGUCCGGAAGAGGCGAGUGGAAUUCCUGGUGUAGCGGUGAAAUGCGCAGAUAUCAGGAGGAACACCAAUGGCGAAGGCAGCUCGCUGGGACGGUACUGACGCUGAGACGCGAAAGCGUGGGGAGCAAACGGG